UAGGGAAUCUUCCACAAUGGACGAAAGUCUGAUGGAGCAACACCGCGUGAGUGAAGAAGGGUUUCGGCUCGUAAAGCUCUGUUGUUGGAGAAGAACGUGCGUGAGAGUAACUGUUCACGCAGUGACGGUAUCCAACCAGAAAGUCACGGCUAACUACGUGCCAC
rnacentral:rRNA from 1 species